AAGCCAACGUAAUGGGUAUCGUCGUGGAUGAAGUUCAUCUCAUUUACAAAUGGUCUAUCCAAUUGAGUGCAGAGCUUUUUUUUUUUACUGGUUCGGUUAAGCCACGCCCCAUAAUUCAAGUGCAAUGGAGCAGUAUCAGACUCACAUUCUCCCUAGAAUAUGAGUAUGACGAAGUCAGGCUAGCAUUUAUGUAUUUUUUUUAACAAUACACUGGUCUUUACUGGUAAAUUUUGAAAAAUGUAAUGCACCCCUGCUGAAUAAAAUUAUUAAUUUCCCUUUUUGUUGUAAAAAUCUUACUUACUCUAGACUUUUGAAUGAUACUGUAUCACGUUUCCACAAAAAUAUUAAGCCACAAAACAGCUUUUUAAACAUUGAUCAUAAUAAUUAAUGUUUCUUAGGGACCAAAUCGGCAUAAUAGAAUUAUUUCUGAUGUGAAAUUUAUUUUAAAUUGAAACAAUAUUUCACAAUAUUACUGCUUUUACUUUAUUUAUCAGAUAAAUGCAGCCUUGAAGAGUAAUAUGAAUAGUUGUGCUGCUUAACAUUUUUGUAGAAACACAUUAUAUGAUACAUUUUUAGUAUUCUUUGUUGAAUAGAAAAUUCAAAAGUUACAAGUUUUGUCAUUUUUGAUCAGUAUGAAUACAUACAAAUACUACUAUUAAUUAAUUUAUGCUUCUUUUUGCUGUGGUCUUAAAGUAAAAAAAAUAGUAAUUUAUUUUUCAUAUCCUAUUUUUCCUGUGGCAUAAUACCUAUUACCUUGUGUGAUAUCAUUCCCCCCACAGCAAUUUAUAUACAUAUUCAUGUAGUCAGUCACAUUAAAACAGUUCAUUACUUGGGAGGAAUAUUCAUGCUUGAUAUCAAUAUUUAUAGAAUUUGAACUAGAGUAGGACAGUUAGCAGGUGCAUCCCUUGCGAUUUUACACCAAUGACUCAAUGAAUUCAAGUAUAAUUUUCAUAGUGCUUGCAAGCACAUAAAAUUCACUCUGCGCACGUUUUCCCUCUUGUUCUCUUUCGUCUCAUGCACACACAUUGAUAACCUAUAACCAAUGUCAGGCUUCAUUAGGAAGCCAUUUGUAUGCCCACGGGACUGACUUACUGUCUCGUGGGGUGUUCGUCUCGUCAGCCAUUAAUUCCGACCUCUGCUGUCUCUCAUAAAAACAUUAUUCUCUGGCAUUAGCCCCCUGCUCUCAUUAUAGCCACACUGACCAAUAGAUGACUAGAAGCAGGUAGAGUGUGUGAGGAGAGAUUACAGUAAUCUAGCGUGUAGGACAGGCCAAGGAGACUCUAUACUAAUAGAGUAUUAUAUUAUCAUUUCAAAGGAUUAAUGCUUUGAAAAAAGGUCUACUGUCCACUUAUGAUGGC
rnacentral:lncRNA from 1 species